CUUUCUUGGGACACCUGCCCCUCACAUGGACUUGCCACGUGAUUUUAGUCUCUGCGUUGUCCCAGAUGAUCCAGCUGAAGGCUGCCUUCUAAGCAGUUGUGCUUGCAGGAGGCUGUUAGGAGUAAACACAAAUCUUCACUGAAGGAACACAACUUCAACACGGGCCUCCAGGAAUUUCCAUGGACAAGUCCCAAAGAACCAGAGUGCACAGACGCAGCAGAAGGCAGCGUCUCACCCUCUUCAGUGAAUGUGAAAACAGCCAAGUUCAAGUGAAGAGCCACUUGGCGAUAUGAGCAAGGGAGCCCAUGGACAUGGUUGAUUGAGAAUUCUAGACAGCACCAGGAGUUCAGCUGUAUUAUUUCUCAGAAGAGGAAACUGAGGUCAAGAGAGAUGACAUCAGGACGCCUUGCUCUCCUGAUGCACAGGCUGAAGAUGGCGCUGGUGAAGGCCUGCCUGCCCCUCAGGACGAGGGACCGAGACAUAUUCUAAAUCACACCUGAAAGAUCAGUCUCGAUGGAUCGUUUCUAUAUCCUCAGAGCCUGCAGCAAGCACAGGAGCCUUCAGAAGAUCACUGAUAACGUGCAGUUUCUUUGGGGAGAAUGCUUGCUUAGUAGGAAAGUGGAAGGCGGGGGAGGCAGGCAGGCUUCCCUGCUAAGGCCACAUGUCCAGUGGACCCGUGGACCCGGCCUUCCUCUGGCCUUCGUCGUCCUUCUGGGGGCGGGGUGUUAAGUCACGAGGGGUGUUUCUAAAUCAGGCAUAAGCAGAGGUCAGUCCUGAGUUUCAGAAGGACAAGGACGUUUUUAUUACAUCCUGGAAUCCUACGAUAGCCCACUUCGGAAGGGCAGAGUGCGAGGGUCAUGAGAAAGGCCAACACACCAAAAUAAAGCCGACUCAAAAUAACCAGCAAGAUGUUUUUCAAAGAUAAAAGGCAUAAAUAUCCGCAAUAAGUGGCUGGUAGGAGUCUGUUAGCCUAGCAUCGCUUGCAGAGUUAACAUAGUGGUUAAUAGUUUAAUUAAAAAUCCAUUUAGGGAUUUCCAUCUCCAAAUAAUACUUGCUUCAAGUCAUAAUGUUAAAUUUAUGAAGAGGAAAAUGUUUUUCAAAGGGUCCAAAGUCCCAGACAGAGGGAGCUAACUUUUGAGAUUUAUUGUAAAAUGUAUUUACUAAUGCAAUGUAAUGCGCUAAGAGAGUGGAUUUAAAGUGUUAAUACCAUAAAAAGGGGAUACAAGCUAUUUGGGGGUGAUGGAUAGCUUUGGUUUAUUCAUUCAAAUGCAAUACAUGUAUUAAAAUAUCAAAAUAUUA